CUUCACCUUAAGACCACAGAGAACUCAGCUUCUUGGAAGAGUAGCAAGGAGACUAAACCAGGAUGUGAGGGAAAUGGUGCUGGAGAGGACGAUCUGUCCCCAGACGGAGAGCCCCACCUCCCAGGCAUGGUGUCCAGAGGCUGGUGGGGAUGACAGUCUGACACCAGGUUCCUGACAUGCAAGGAUGGAUCACGACUAGAGGAAGUUGCAGCAGCUGGGGUGAUAGCGUGCCGGCCACUGCCACGGGAUCACCAGGCCGACAACUGCAGGAGGCACAGUUCCCAGCACAGUCCAUUUGAACGGCACCUGGGGCAAGACAUUUACUGUCCCUCGAAGCCCCAUGCACUUCCUUUAUUCGCUGAUCUUGCACCGGCCAGGCCUUGGGACUAACCCUGCUCAGCAUCCCCUGGGGGUCUUGGAACAUAUCCCGCAUGGAGAAAGGGGGGCCACUGUACCAGAGCUGUAAUUCACACCUACAGAGAAAGACCGAAAUCGUUGGCCAGCACAAAGGACAACCAUCCUUCAGUUCCUGCUCAGUGCACCCAAGGUUCCCCUUCAUGAGAAAGACUGUCUUGGAUUCUGUGCUGCAGAUGUGGAAACCUCUGUACACACCACGCAUUAUAAUCAGAUAAAGCCCUGGACCCCGUGACGGAUGGCCACGGCAUACCAGCUGCUGUCCACUGACUUCUCUCACUGAGGCUCUUGUCCAGCAGAAGAACUGGGCAUGCUCAUGUUGGCAAGAAAAUGAACCUGAAAUGUGGAAUGUAUUCAGAGACUGGAAGGAGCGAGCCCUUUAUUUGCUUAAGGCUGCUUCCUUGCACCUGAUAUUAAUAAAUGAAAUGAAGGCUGAACAGUGUUUCAAACAACUAUACAAAUUGGAACAUGCUCGUCUAGUCAACAGAAGACGAAGAAAAUCCAGAAGUCGGCAAUAAAUAAACUGAAUAAGCUCAGUCAGUCAUUUCAACUUUCUUUUUGUAAGAUAUUCAUGGGAAUUGGAAUUCUGGAGGAUUGCCAUGAGUUUUUACUUCUUGCAUUGAAUUUGGACUCCCUUUUGCUUUGCGGCAUCGAUCAGAAGAAGGGACUGGGUAUGCCCAGGUCUAAUGCAAAUUUUGCUUCCUGCUAAAAAUUUUUGCAACUAUCAAAAAUGUAUGGGAAGACCACAUUCAUUAAAAUAAUAAUAACUAACAUUUUUCUAAUAUGGGCCAGAUACUGGGCUAAGCGGUUUACAUAAAUUAGCUCAUUUAACCCUAACUCAGCCUCUUUAUAUGUUAUGAGUUCCAUUUUAUGGAUGGGAAAACUGAGAUCCGGAGAGGCCCAGGAACUCACCCAAGGUUACACAUCUAGUAGCUGUUGACACAGGAAUUCAACUCCAUUACCACUAUAUCAUUAGCUGACAUCUCCAUCACACCACAUAAUGACGAUUUCUUUUGUGUGGUGGGAACAUUUAAGAUCUACUCUCUUAACAACUUUCAAGUAGAUAAUACAGUGUUAUUAACUAUAAUCAGCAUGCUGUAUAUUAGAUCUCCAGAACUUACUCAUCCUAUAACUGGAAGUUUGUACCCUUUGACCAGUAUCUCAUUUCCUCCAUCUCCCAACUCCUGGAAACCACCAGUCUACUCUGUUUCUAUGAGUUCAGCUUCUUUAGGUUCCACAUAUAAGUGAUAUCAUACAGUAUUUGUCUUUCUCUGACUUAUUUCACUGAGCAAAAUGCCCUCAGAGUUCAUUCAUGUUGUCACAAAUGGGAGGAUUUCCUUCUGUCUCAUGGAUGAAUAAUAUUCCAUUGUAUGUAUACAGUAAACAUCUUCUUUAUCCAUUCAUCUGUUGAUGGACACUGGGGUUGUUUCCAAGGCUUGACUAUUGUGAAUAAUGCAGCAAUGAACAUGAGGGGGCCGAUAUCUCUUCGAGAUCCUGGUUGCAUUUCCUUUGCAUGUAUACCUGGUUUUAUCUUGUAUUAUAUGAGUAGCACACGCCAAUAGUUUGCACACAGCAGAGGCAGUAAAAUCAGCCACAUUAACAAUUUCCUGUGAAAGGCACAAAGUUAAUGUACAUGAGGCCUCUGCCUAUCAGAAAUUUAUAAUCCAUUGGUAGAGACAAGACGAACAAUUAACUAAACUGUU
ensembl:lncRNA